AUGCAGUCGACGGGCUCUUCGGAGCAAGUGGCGGACGGGUGAGUAACGCGUGAGAAUGUGCCUUCAGGAUGGGGAUAACAAUAGGAAACUAAUGCUAAGACCCAAUGUGCCUUAAGUAGUGAAAAAUGAAAAUUGCCUGAAGAGGAGCUCGCGUCUGAUUAGCUAGUUGGUAGUGUAAAAGACAACCAAGGCGACGAUCAGUAGCUGGUCUGAGAGGACGAACAGCCACACUGGGACUGAGACACGGCCCAGACUCCUACGGGAGGCAGCAGUGGGGAAUUUUCCGCAAUGGGCGAAAGCCUGACGGAGCAAUACCGCGUGAGGGAGGAAGGCCUUUGGGUUGUAAACCUCAAAAAUUAGGGAAGAAAAAAAUGACGGUACCUAAAAUAAGCAUCGGCUAACUCCGUG
rnacentral:rRNA from 1 species